rnacentral:rRNA from 1 species
UACGUAGGGGGCAAGCGUUGUCCGGAAUUAUUGGGCGUAAAGAGCGUGUAGGCGGUCCGGUAAGUCAGCUGUGAAAGUCAAGGGCUCAACCCUUGAAUGCCGGUUGAUACUGUCGGGCUAGAGUCCGGAAGAGGCGAGUGGGAUUCCCGGUGUAGCGGUGGAAAUGCGCAGAUAUCGGGAGGAACACCAAUGGCGAAGGCAGCUCGCUGGGAUAACAUGACGCUCAUGCACGAAAGCGUGGGGAG